CACGCAGGCGGUCUUUUAAGUUUGACGUGAAAGCUCCCGGCUUAACUGGGAGAGGUCGUUGAAGACUGGAAGACUUGAGGCAAUGAGAGGGGUGUAGAAUUCCCGGUGUAGUGGUGGAAUGCGUAGAUAUCGGGGGGAAUACCAGUGGCGAAAGCGGCACCCUAGCGUUAGCCUGACGCUCAUGUGCGAAAGCGUGGGGAGGCGAACG
rnacentral:rRNA from 1 species